rnacentral:rRNA from 1 species
UAGGGAAUCUUCUACAAUGGGCGCAAGCCUGAUGGAGCAACACCGCGUGAGUGAAGAAGGGUUUCGGCUCGUAAAGCUCUGUUGUUAAAGAAGAACACGUAUGAGAGUAACUGUUCAUACGUUGACGGUAUUUAACCAGAAAGUCACGGCUAACUACGUGCCA